rnacentral:rRNA from 1 species
ACAUUGGAACUGAGAAACGGUCCAGACUCCUACGGGAGGCAGCAGUGGGGAAUAUUGGGCAAUGGACGAAAGCCUGACCCAGCGACGCCGCGUGAGGGAAGACGGUCUUCGGAUUGUAAACCUCUUUCAGCAGGGAAGAAGCAAGUGACGGUACCUGCAGAAGAAGUCACGGCUAACUACGUGCCAGCAGCCGCGGUAAUACGUAGGUGGCGAGCGUUAUCCGGAAUUACUGGGUGUAAAGGGUGUGUAGGCGGGGAAGCAAGUCAGAUGUGAAAACCAAAGGCUCAACCUUUGGCUUGCAUUUGAAACUGUUUUUCUUGAGAGUGGGAGAGGUAAACGGAAUUCCUAGUGUAGUAGUGAAUGCGUAGAUAUUAGGAGGAACACCGGUGGCGAAGGCGGUUUACUGGACCACAACUGACGCUGAGACACGAAAGCGUGGGGAGCAAACAGGAUUAGAUACCCUGGUAGUCCACGCUGUAAACGAUGAAUACUAGGUGUGGGGGCCGUAGGGUCUCCGUGCCGCAGUUAACACAAUAAGUAUUCCACCUGGGGAGUACGGCCGCAAGGUUGAAACUCAAAGGAAUUGACGGGAGCCCGCACAAGCAGUGGAGUAUGUGGUUUAAUUCGACGCAACGCGAAGAACCUUACCGGAGCUUGACAUCCUCAGAAGACCGAUGUAAUGUUGGUUGUGCUCUUCGGAGAACUGAGAGACAGGUGGUGCAUGGUUGUCGUCAGCUCGUGUCGUGAGAUGUUGGGUUAAGUCCCGCAACGAGCGCAACCCUUACGGUUAGUUGCUACGCAAGAGCACUCUAGCCGGACUGCCGUUGACAAAACGGAGGAAGGUGGGGACGACGUCAAAUCAUCAUGCCCCUUACGUUCCGGGCUACACACGUACUACAAUGGUGAGAACAAAGGGAAGCGAUACCGCGAGGUGGAGCGAAUCCCAUAAAAAUCAUCCCAGUUCGGACUGCAGGCUGCAACUCGCCUGCACGAAGUUGGAAUUGCUAGUAAUCGCGGAUCAGCAUGCCGCGGUGAAUACGUUCCCGGGCUUUGUACACACCGCCCGUCAAACCAUGAAAGUUGGGAACACCCGAAGCCAGUGAGCUAACCGCAAGGAGGCAGCUGUCGGAGGUGGGUUCAAUGAUUGGGGUUAAGUCGUAACAAGGUAGCCGUACUAGUACGAGCA